rnacentral:rRNA from 1 species
UACGUAGGGUCCGAGCGUUGUCCGGAAUUAUUGGGCGUAAAGGGCUCGUAGGCGGUCUGUUGCGUCGGGAGUGAAAACUUACAGCUUAACUGUGAGCGUGCUUUCGAUACGGGCAGACUUGAGGCAUUCAGGGGAGAACGGAAUUCCUGGUGUAGCGGUGAAAUGCGCAGAUAUCAGGAGGAACACCGGUGGCGAAGGCGGAUCUCUGGGCCUGUCCUGACGCUGAGUGCGCGAAAGCCAGGGGAGCAAACGGG